rnacentral:misc_RNA from 1 species
UCGAGACCGAAACAUAUCGAGCGAUUCAGAGAACCCGUGAAUAAGCGGCGACGCUCGUUGCCGUGAAACAUCCAUCCCAGUCGUCGCCCCGCCUCCUGCGGAGGGGAGGGGGCGGCGAUGAAGGACGGGUGAAACCCCAAACCGGCGCAAUUCCGCGCCAAGGGAACUAUUGAAAAACACGAGCCCCUGCAUCGGGGCUCCGUGGUGUGGAGCGGUGUUACGCACCGCACGUACUGACACGACUCUCGGCAAUGGAUAUCUCGGCUCUCGCAUCGAUGAAGAGCGCAGCGAAAUGCGAUACGUGGUGCGAAUUGCAGAAUCCCGCGAACCAUCGAGUCUUUGAACGCAAGUUGCGCCCGAGGCCAACCGGCCGAGGGCACGUCCGCCUGGGCGUCAAGCGUUGCGUCGCUCCGUGCCACGAAGGCCCGGAUGUGCAGAGUGGCCCGUCGUGCCCACCGGCGCGUCGGGCUGAAGAGCGGGCGAUCGUCUCGAUGGCGACGAACAACGAGGGGUGGAUGAAAGCUACGUCGUUGUGUCGUGCUGGCCCGAGAGAAGGUUAUACCCUCCGCGAGAUCCCAUCCAUGCGCCGGCCCUGAUGCGGCGGCU